rnacentral:rRNA from 1 species
UACGUAGGGUGCGAGCGUUAAUCGGAAUUACUGGGCGUAAAGCGUGCGUAGGUGGUUUGUUAAGUCUGAUGUGAAAGCCCUGGGCUCAACCUGGGAAUUGCAUUGGAUACUGGCAGGCUGGAGUGCGGUAGAGGGUAGUGGAAUUCCCGGUGUAGCAGUGAAAUGCGUAGAUAUCGGGAGGAACACCAGUGGCGAAGGCGACUACCUGGACCAGCACUGACACUGAGGCACGAAAGCGUGGGGAGCAAACAGG